AGAGUUUGAUCCUGGCUCAGAUUGAACGCUGGCGGAAUGCUUUACACAUGCAAGUCGAACGGCAGCACGGGAGCUUGCUCCUGGUGGCGAGUGGCGAACGGGUGAGUAAUGCGUCGGAACGUACCGAGUAAUGGGGGAUAACGCAGCGAAAGCUGUGCUAAUACCGCAUACGCCCUGAGGGGGAAAGUGGGGGAUCGCAAGACCUCACGUUAUUCGAGCGGCCGACGUCUGAUUAGCUAGUUGGUGGGGUAAUGGCCUACCAAGGCGACGAUCAGUAGCGGGUCUGAGAGGAUGAUCCGCCACACUGGAACUGAGACACGGUCCAGACUCCUACGGGAGGCAGCAGUGGGGAAUUUUGGACAAUGGGGGCAACCCUGAUCCAGCCAUUCUGCGUGAGUGAAGAAGGCCUUCGGGUUGUAAAGCUCUUUCAGCUGGAACGAAACGGUGCGCUCUAACAUAGCGUGCUAAUGACGGUACCAGCAGAAGAAGCACCGGCUAACUACGUGCCAGCAGCCGCGGUAAUACGUAGGGUGCGAGCGUUAAUCGGAAUUACUGGGCGUAAAGCGUGCGCAGGCGGAUUGUUAAGCAAGAUGUGAAAUCCCCGGGCUUAACCUGGGAAUGGCAUUUUGAACUGGCAGUCUAGAGUGUGUCAGAGGGGGGUGGAAUUCCACGUGUAGCAGUGAAAUGCGUAGAGAUGUGGAGGAACACCAAUGGCGAAGGCAGCCCCCUGGGAUAACACUGACGCUCAUGUACGAAAGCGUGGGUAGCAAACAGGAUUAGAUACCCUGGUAGUCG
rnacentral:rRNA from 1 species